rnacentral:lncRNA from 1 species
GUGUCUACUUGGUUCAAACAUUGUCCUAAACCCACAAAGUGAUGCAAAGAUGAAUGAGGCACACUCUACAUUCAGGGAGCCAAGCCUGAACAAAAUAUGACAUAUAUACAAAUAAAUACAAAUAAUUCAAUUCCAUUGAAUUCAACAAGCAUUUAUUAACCAUAUACACUAUGCAAGUCCUAGUGUCUAGCACUGAUGAUACAGAAACAUGAAGGAAACAAUCCUUGCUAAUCAGAGUGCUUGCUUUGGCUGGCCUUACCCACAGAUGAAAUAUGCAACCACCUACAAUGUUUUGAUUUCAAGGACCUGAAGAAGACCCUGAUAUUCUUCAGAUCCCUGUUCCUGUUCCCUCCCAACUCCAAGUUCAAUGAUGUCUGAUCCCACAUUUAGAGAGAUUUGCUCUUAAUUUAAAGGCCCCUGAUUCCUUGUUAAAAUGUAAAUCUCCCUGCAAGGGAGAUUUAAUAUUAUAAGCUAUUUCCAAUUCUCUGUGAAUGAAUUUAUCAGAUUUUUUCUUGAGUGAUAUCUUGAU